rnacentral:rRNA from 1 species
CCUACGGGUGGCAGCAGUGGGGAAUAUUGCACAAUGGGCGAAAGCCUGAUGCAGCAACGCCGCGUGAGCGAUGAAGGCCUUCGGGUCGUAAAGCUCUGUCCUCAGGGAAGAUAAUGACGGUACUUGAGGAGGACGCCCCGGCUAACUCCGUGCCAGCCGCCGCGGUAAUACGUAGGGGGCUAGCGUUAUCCGGAUUUACUGGGUGUAAAGGGGGCGCAGGUGGAUUCUUAAGUCGGAGGUGAAAGGCUACGGCUCAACCGUGGUAAGCCUUUGAAACUGGAGGACUUGAGUGCAGGAGAGGAAGGCGGAAUUCCUAGUGUAGCGGUGAAAUGCGUAGAUAUUAGGAGGAACACCGGUUGCGAAGGCGGCUCGCUGGACUGUAACUGACGCUGAGGCACGAAGGCGUGGGGAGCAAACAGGAUUAGAUACCCCAGUAGUC